rnacentral:rRNA from 1 species
AUUGAACGCUGGCGGCAGGCCUAACACAUGCAAGUCGAGCGGAUGAAGGGAGCUUGCUCCUGGAUUCAGCGGCGGACGGGUGAGUAAUGCCUAGGAAUCUGCCUGGUAGUGGGGGAUAACGUCCGGAAACGGGCGCUAAUACCGCAUACGUCCUGAGGGAGAAAGUGGGGGAUCUUCGGACCUCACGCUAUCAGAUGAGCCUAGGUCGGAUUAGCUAGUUGGUGGGGUAAAGGCCUACCAAGGCGACGAUCCGUAACUGGUCUGAGAGGAUGAUCAGUCACACUGGAACUGAGACACGGCCCAGACUCCUACGGGAGGCAGCAGUGGGGAAUAUUGGAGAAUGGGCGAAAGCCUGAUCCAGCCAUGCCGCGUGUGUGAAGAAGGUCUUCGGAUUGUAGAGCACUUUAAGUGGGGAGGAAGGGCAGUAAGUUAAUACCUUGCUGUUUUGACGUUACCUACAGAAUAAGCACCGGCUAACUUCGUG